ACGUAUACAUAUGUAACUAACCUGCACAUUGUGCACAUGUACCCUAAAACUUAAAGUAUAAUAAUAAUUAAAAAAACCAAUAGUUUAUGAAACCCCCCCCAAAAAAAAUAUAUGCCAGUGGCCUCCAGUUGCCCACCAGGUAGCAUCCACAUUCUUUAAUGGAAAGCCCUUCCUUGCUUCGAACUUGCCAACUGGGAUUGGACAUUUGUAGUUGCAUUUCUAAGAACUGUUCCCUUUUGUCAAUGGAGCCUGAUUUCCACUUGGAUAUCUGGGUGAUUUAGGGAAACUGACCUCAAAACCCAAUUCUACAUUUCGACCAUGUGACCUUGGCUUAAUCAAUUCACGCAUCUUUUUCCCUCACCUCAGGGGAUGAUCAUAUGAACUAAGCCAGUUGCAAUAGAGUAAACCUCAUGUUCCUAAUGAGAAAUCCAGAACAAAAUGCUUUAUUUUUCUUCAAUUUUUUAUUAGGUCAUCUCCUGAAUCAAUUAAAAAAAAAACCAACAGUGACAACAAAACUAAAAAAUAUGAAGAAGCUGAAACAUGAAAGCUCUGCCAACUGCAAUAUGUAGCUGCUAAGGUUGCUGUAUUUAUUGGAAUCAAGCAAGUGUUCCAGUAAAGAGCACAGAAGAUGUGUCUGGGAGCCUUUAUGUAUAACACUAACAAAGUUGACCUUAGAAUUGGAGUGCCUGGGUUAGAACCCUGCUGGUACCACCUGCUUACUGCAUGCUUCUGAUGUGAGUUCAGGAGAAGACACUGGCAAGGACAGCAAAGAACAGGAGAACACUCUAGCUUCCCUGAUAGCAUUCAAGGUGCUGUCCAAACUGACUGUGAUGGCACCCUCCAGACAGACAGCGAUGCCACAUGUUCAAGAUGGCAGAAUCACUAUCAGCUUCAAUUCCUGAAUGACUGCAGAGCAAAAUUUCUUACCUGCAACAUACACUCUAUUUUCAGCCUCCCUGGACUGUUACAUAAUGAUACAUAAAAAUAUUUCUUGUGUUGAGGCAUCCCAAAUUUGAUUUAUUUGUCAUCACAGUCUAUCCUAUGAAUAUAUUUCUGAUCCAAAUAAUGCUAGAUUCAUGAGAGUUUAUAGUCCAGAGAUUUUUUUUUUUUUUUUGAGACAGAAUCUGUCUCCCAGGCUGGGGUGCAGUGGCAUAAUCUUAGCUCACUGCAACCUCUGCCUCCCGGGCUCAAGUGAUCCUCCCUCCUUAGCCUCCAUGAGUAGCUGGGACCACAGGUGUGCACCACCACACCCCGCUAAUUAUUUUGUAUUUUUUGCAGAGGGGGGUUUCACCACAUUGCCCAAGCUGGUCUCAAACUCCUAGACUUAAGGGAUCUGCCUGCCUUGGCCUCCCAAAAUGCUGAAAUUACACUUGUUAGCCAUAGUAAUAGUUCCUAGCCAUAGUCCGGAGAUAUUUUAAAAACUUUAGUGUGAGUUAUUUCUCUUUGCUAUAAUUCUCUCAUGCAUUUUGAAAACCUUUUCUGCCAUACAGUGGUUUUUGGGAAGUCCUUUUGGACAGACAUAUCACAGGAUGGAGAAACUAAAAAGAGAGAAUGCAUUAAAGAAAAAAUAGUACUUCGUAUUUCAGAAAUUACAAAAGGGUGUCAUGCCCCACAGCAUGGUGGGCAGUCAUUUGUAACCCACAGAACAUUGAGUUUCUAAAAUUUGAGUGUUUUUAACUUACGAAGGCCAACUUUACUGAUGAAGUGAUUACCCCAAAUAUGUGAAAUCCAUAUUUCAAGUACAAUAGUAGGAAAUUGGAAAUGGGCUCUUGAGUUUCUGCUUUCAAGUGACCCUCAGAAAUUCCUCCAUUCACUGCAGAGGUUCUGUUUCUCCUUGCUUUGUUCUGACUUUACGGCAGAACUAAGCUAAUGAGUUAGUUACUAUGGGUUAUCACUUGGAUUUGAAGAACCAUCAUUUCUAGGCAUUGCUGCUCAGAGUGGGUCUGCCCUCAGGGGAAGCUGUCUAACCAGAGCCUAACCCACUAGGGUUUUAUCAGAACCUAACUGACCUGAGGAAAAGAAAUACUCAACUCCAGCAAGCUCCAGCCUUCCAAAUGGAGGAGGAGAAAACCCAACUCCAGCCCACUUCAGCUAUCUUGUCCCACAUAAAGGGGAAGUGGAAGAAACCUGAGAAGCAGGCAUGAAGUUCACAGUCCAGAGACCUUGCCAUCGUAUCCCCUUUUGGAGACACAAGCCAGGAAGGAAGCUCUUCAGUGCAGCUGUGAAUAGAGAAAUGCUGGCUGAGGUUUUGGAGACACUGGGUGAUCAUUCCCAGUGAAAUUUUUAGAUCCCUGGGGACAUGAGCUGCUUUGUCUUUUCCAAGGCUGAAAAAGUUUUGGAAGCCCUCCUAAGCAGGUGCCAGACCCUUUUUUGGCCAGAGACAGGAUCUUACGCUGUUGCCCAGGCUGGAGUGCAAUAGUGUCAUCAUGGCUCACUGUAGCCUGGAACUGCUGGGCUCAAGGGAUCCUCCCAGCUCAGCCUCCCAAGUAGCUAGGAGUAAAGUCUGGAGAACACUUUUUCUUUUGAGCUGUUUACAACCUUUAGCAAUUGAGUAGAGUGUACUCUUGUCAAUAGAAUUUGAAGCACAUUUCUCUCUCUGCCUGAUUUCUGUAGAAUUUGUAAACUAUUUGUGAAUAUUCUUAAUUUAUGGCAAUAUGGUUGCUUACAUAAGUUCAAUAAUAAUCUGUUUUCUUUUACAAUGAGACACAGUUGGAGGAACUGGUUAUUUUCCCAGGGCUUUGACUGAAAUGGCCUUGUGAAUGGUUCCAGGAAAGCCAAUUUUGGAGACCCUAUGUGGAUGAUGAUGCUUGCUGUACUUUCUGUGGGUAAUCGGGCCAAGUAUAUGGGACUGAAGCUAAUUUUGCAGGUGAGAAAAUGGAGGUCCAGAGAGAAAAGUGACUCACCCAAGCUGAAAACAGUUGCAGGAAGAAAAGCCAGGACAGAACUGGGCUGUUAGAAACCUUGGAGUACACUAAAGAUGAGGAACUGAGUCACCGCAAUGCCAAAUGUAACACGCUGUGGGUCAAAAUUUGGAUGGUUGCGUUGGAAAUUAUUCUGAAGCCACAGACAGGGCUAAAAGAGUCUAGAAUGUCCUACUAGCUGUUGGAACCUGCUGGAGUUCUAAAGGCAUGCGAUGUCCUGAAUGUGCUUGACCAAUGGACACAGCAGGUAUUUGAAGAGUUUUGAUGCUUCCUUUCUGUUUUCAGUGCUAUUUUUUUGCUUUAUUUCUUUUAAAAAACUUUCCCCACAGAGGCUAUUUAUUACACAGCAGCAGCCAGCAUGCACCAAGCAGAACUGCUUUUCAUAAUAAACCUAUUUAUCUUCUGGCAUGUCAGAAAUUUCUCAAAUUGAUACUUAUAAUAAAUAUGAUUAAUAACACAUUGUA
rnacentral:lncRNA from 1 species